rnacentral:rRNA from 1 species
UUAAGUCCCAUAACGAGCGCAACCCCUACUGCUAGUUGCCAGCGGGUCAUGCCGGGGACUCUAGCGGAACUGCCAGCGUAAGCUGCGAGGAAGGUGGGGAUGACGUCAAAUCAGCACGGCCCUUACGUCCAGGGCUACACACGUGUUACAAUGGCCAGUACAGAGGCAGCCACCCGCGAGGGGCGCUAAUCCUAAAAGCUGGUCCCAGUUCGGAUCGGAGUCUGCAACCCGACUCCGUGAAGCUGGAUUCGCUAGUAAUCGCGCAUCAGCCACGGCGCGGUGAAUACGUUCCCGGGCCUU